rnacentral:rRNA from 1 species
UAUGGAGGAUCCGAGCGUUAUCCGGAUUUAUUGGGUUUAAAGGGUGCGCAGGCGGGAGAUUAAGUCGGCGGUGAAAUUUUGCAGCUCAACUGUAAAAGUGCCUUCGAUACUGGUUUCCUUGAGUGUGGAUGAAGUAGGCGGAAUUUGUGGUGUAGCGGUGAAAUGCUUAGAUAUCACGAGGAACUCCGAUUGCGCAGGCAGCUUACUAAACCACUACUGACGCUCAGGCACGAAGGCGUUGGGAUCAAACAGGAUUAGAUACCCCU